rnacentral:rRNA from 1 species
UACGGAGGGUGCAAGCGUUAUCCGGAUUCACUGGGUUUAAAGGGUGCGUAGGUGGUUUUGUAAGUCAGUGGUGAAAUCUCCAAGCUUAACUUGGAAACUGCCGUUGAUACUAUAAAUCUUGAAUGUUGUGGAGGUGAGCGGAAUAUGUCAUGUAGCGGUGAAAUGCUUAGAUAUGACAUAGAACACCAAUUGCGAAGGCAGCUCACUACACAAAGAUUGACACUGAGGCACGAAAGCGUGGGGAUCAAACAGG